ACUUGGCUAUCAAACUCGUCCCUUUUUUUCCUUCGUAACCUACUUUCCUCUCUCCUCUAUGUGGUCUAUCCAGGCUGCACCCCCUUCGGGCAUGUGAUCACGUCUCACCUGUUUGCAAGCAUUAUUUCAGUUUCUAUGAAGAAAAGUCUCGCCUGCUAUACUGAAUAGAGCAUACAACACUCACAGAUGGCACACAUACAGAGUCUGCAUGAUAAUCCAUUUACAGAAAAUACCACAGCCACUGCACUUAAAUGCCAUUUGAAAGAGGGACAAAGUUCACAUCACAGUCAGCACCUACACUGGAUACGUAUGCUCAACCUAAAUGGGCAGAGAGAAAGCAGACAGGGGAGAGAGACUCGGAAGAUUGUAAGGAGAUUGCCUGCAAUGCAUGAGUGAUAUUUUGGAAUAAAACUGUAUUCCUUCUAAUAAUUAGAAUUUUA
rnacentral:lncRNA from 1 species